rnacentral:lncRNA from 1 species
AAUACCUUCACAGAUUAUUUCCCAUUUUUAACAAGUAUCUCCCUUAUCAUGCGAAAAAAAAAUGUGAUUUUCCUUCUACCCAUAUUUAACCAUCAUAUUUGUGCAUAUGAUUGCAGCUCUGCUGAAAGGACUUGGGAGUGAGCUGCCAGGCUACAAGGGAUUGAAUCGAAAGCCCCCUAACGGUUAAAGUGUCCAUUAGUUUCUCUACACUUAGCAUCCAUCAGAGAGAAGACGGGCUGGGAGCCCCGGGCGAAUUUCUAACUAGCCUAAUGAGGAGAGAGAUUCUGGGAGCAAAAAAAGUUCAUUUGCUGAAUUUCCAGCAAGAAGUCACUUCAAUAUUGCUUCUAGGAAACACUGACAGGCUUUGUUGAUUAGCAAGCUAAACAGAGAAAAAGAUAACACUCAAGAAGCUGCCUAUAUGUAAGAGAUUCUUUUGAGAACUUUCAAAUGGCUCCUUUCUACAAAAGACCUGGGAAUACUUAAC